CAGACAUAGAAAGACAGAGAUGGACAGAGAGAGACAGAGAGAAACAGACAGAAAGAGAGACAGACAGAGACAGAGAGAGAAACAGACAGUCAGGGAGGGAGAGAGACAGAGAGAGAGAGACAAACAGAGAGAAAUAAACAGAAACAGAGAGAGAGACAGAGAAAGAGAGAGAAACAGACACACAGAGACAGAGACAGAGAGAAACAGAAAGAGAGAGAGACAGAGAGAGAGAAAGGGAGGGAGAGAGAGAGAGACAGGCAGAGAAAGAGAGUUAGAAGACAG
rnacentral:lncRNA from 10 species